ensembl:lncRNA
CACAGGAAAUGCCUAUACUGCCCUCCUCACUCACUUCCGGUGGCAGGUAUGGAACCUAUAGGGGGGCCUGUCACCCGGCACGUGCGCCGGGGGCCGGCCGGGCGGGCGGGGAGGAAGGCCGGCGGGCCGGCGGGGGGCCGACCCCGACCCCGACCCCGACCCGACCCGACCCGACCAGAUCCGCCCCGGAGCCUGGGCCUGGCCGGCUGGGCCUCGCCCCCAGCGCCCCUGGCAGGGCUGCCUCGGCGAGGAAUCAAAGCUCUCCAGCCAACACCAUGUGACCUUGAGGGUGGAAAACACAUGCUUGGGGACACAGAAGAAGGCUGAGACCCGGUGACUUCAUGGAGCUGCCAAAACAGUUUGACUGCUUUACUCUCAAUAAAGUGAGAAAAGAAACCCACCUGUGUGAACGACUGGACUUUCAUAUGUGAAGCCAAACUUCAUGGGAACAGAUAAUAGCGACCCUCUGUGAUAACCAGGUGUUUCCUUGUUUCUCAUCUAUACUAUGGCAUGGGACAAAUAGUUCUUAAUAAAGAAUAGAAAUAACACAGAUUGAAUCUCUGGGGUUAGGGGUUGUUCCUCUGGUAGGACUCUGUGCACAUAGUAAUAUAGAUCUGGUUGGGCUGUUAUUCUUAAAUUACUGAUUUUAAGUGUUCCUCACAGUGGAGUGGAGUUUCAGAAGCAUGUAUUUGGUUGCCUUAGCUUCAGUUUAAAUAUGUGGAUAGUGGUGAGGGAGGCUCCUAAGGACACAGAGGGGAAAACCAGGCAUUGCCUUUGUAAAAUGGAUGAAUGGGGAAUUCCCUGGUGGUUCAGUGUCUAGGACCUGACACUUUCACUGCUGUGGCCUGGGUUCAGUCCGUGGUCAGAGACCUAACGUCCUGCAAGCUACCCAGCGUGGCAACAAAACAAACAAAACCAAAACACAUUUGGAGCUCGUGAAAAGCCCUGGUACUGAGCUCAGAGAAAGCUGGGUUGAGGCCCUUGGUUCAGUUCCCCUGCCCACCAGCAUGGUGAGCUUGUUAGUAUCAAAUGAACCAUGUAUUUUUUGAUCUCUGAGUCAUCUUAAAAGUCAGUUUAUCAAGGUAUAAUUGACAUACAAUAAACUACAUCUAUUUUUUUAUUGAUUUUUUGGGAGUAUAGUUGAUGUACAAUGUUGUGUUCAUUUCUGCUGUACGGCGAAACGAAUCAGCUAUAUAUAUAGAUAUAUCCCCUCUUUUUUUAGGUCACCAUUGAGCAUUGAGUGGAGUUCUCUGUGCUAUACAAUAGGUCCUCAUUAGUUAUCUAUUUUAUCAGAAAAACUAUGACAAACCUAGACAGCAUAUCAAAAAGCAUAUCACUUUGCCAACAAAUGUCUGUAUGCUUGCCUGCUAAGUCGCCUCAGUCAUGUCCAACUCUUUGCAACCCAAUGGACUGUAGCCCACCAGGCUCCUCUGUCCAUGGGAUUCUCCAGGCAAGAAUACUGGAGCUGGUUGCCAUUUCCUCCUCCAGGGGAUCUUCCCAACCUAGGGAUCAAACCCACAUCUCUUAAGUCUUCUGCAUUGGCAGGUGGGUUCUUUUUCACUAGGGCCACUUGGACACAUAAAAGUCCGUAUAGUCAAAGCUAUGGUUUUUCCAGUAGUCAUGUACAGAUGUAAAAGUUGGAUCAUAAAGAAGGUUGAGCAGUGAAGAAUUGAUGCUUUUGAACCGUGGUGCUGGAGAAGACUCUAGAGAGUCUCUUGGACAGCAAGAAGAUCAAACUAGUCAAUCCUAAGGGAAGUCAACCUUGAAUAAGCUGAUGCUGAAGCUGAAGAUCCAAUACUUUGGCCACCUGAUGUGAAGAACCGAUUCAUUGGAAAAGACCCUGAUGCUGGGAAAGAUUGAAGGCAAAAAGAGAAGGGGGCAGCAGAGGAUGAGAUGUUAGAUAGCAUCACCGACUCAUUGGUCAUGAAUCUGAGCAAACUCCGGGAGAUAGUAAAGGACAGGGGAGCCUGGCCUGCUGUAGUCGAUGGGGUCACAAAGAAUUGGAUAGGACUUAGCAACUGAACAACAACAACAACAUAUAUCCAGAGUGGAAUUGAUAGAGCAUAGUAGUUCUAUUUUUAAUUUUUUCUAUUUUUAAAAAUUUAAAAUUUAUUUUUAAGUUUUAUGGAGUUUCCAUACUGUGUCCCAUAAUGGGUGCACCAAUUUACAUUCCCACUGACAGUGCACGAGGAGUCAUGUAUAUUUUAUGCUGUUACUUUCUCCCAUUCUGUAGGUUACCUUUUACUUUUGUUGAUUGUUUCUUUUCCUGUGUAGGAACUUUUUAGUUUGAUGUAGUUCCAUUUUUACUUUUGCUUUUGCUUUUGGCACCAAAUCCA